rnacentral:rRNA from 1 species
GACGAACGCUGGCGGCGUGCUUAACACAUGCAAGUCGAACGAUGAAGAAAAGAAUUGAAGCUUCGGCAGAAAUUCAUUUCGGAUUAGUGGCAGACGGGUGAGUAACGCGUGAGCAACCUACCUCUUACAAAGGGAUAGCCUCGGGAAACCGGGAUUAAUACCAUAUAACAUUGCGACGAAGCAUUUCGAUGCAAUCAAAGCUACGGCGGUAAGAGAUGGGCUCGCGUCCCAUUAACCAGAUGGUGAGGUAACGGCUCACCAUAGUAACGAUGGGUAACCGGCCUGAGAGGGUGAACGGUCAUACUGGAACUGAGACACGGUCCAGACUCCUACGGGAGGCAGCAGUGGGGAAUAUUGCACAAUGGAGGGAACUCUGAUGCAGCGACGCCGCGUGAGUGAUGAAGGAAUUCGUUUCGUAAAACUCUGUUCUAUGGGAAGAAAAGGACUGUACCAUAGGAGAAAGCUCCGGCUAAAUACGUG